AUGUGCAAGGUCAUCAACACGGUCCGGUCGCUCGCCUGGCUGCGCCGCAUCGUGCGGCGGUGGCGCUCCCGAGCGGCGGCCUCGGUGCGGCCCAACAAGGAUGUGCUCGAGCUAGACGCCGCGGUGCCGGCGGGGCACGUGGCGGUGCGCGUGGAGGGCCGCGGCGACGGACAGUCGUCGUCGAGGCGGUUCGUUGUGCCGGUGGCGCAGCUGAGCCACCCGGCGUUCUGGGAGCUGCUCCAGCAGGCGGAGGAGGAGUACGGUUUCCCGUCGGCCUCCGGCCCCCUCGCGCUCCCCUGCGACGAGGACCACCUCCGUGACGUCCUCCGCCGCGUCUCGUCCUCCGAAACCGAGGAGCGCGGCUCCUUCCGCCGCCGCGGUGUCGUGGCGGCGCCGCACGAUGACUCGCGGCCGCUGCUGCAGGGGGUGGCCGUGAAGAAGCUCGCCUCGUGA
rnacentral:rRNA from 1 species